AGGACGAACGCUGGCGGCGUGCUUAAUACAUGCAAGUCUAAGGGGCUUCUUCCCUUCGGGGAGGGAGUCACUGGCGCACGGGUGAGUAACACGUAAGUAAUCUGCCCCCGGGUCUGACAUAACUCCGGGAAACCGGAGCUAAUAGCAGAUGACAUCGAAAGAUUAAAGGUUUCGACUGCCCGGGGAUGAGCUUGCGUCUGAUUAGCUAGUUGGCGGGUAACGCCACCAAGGCGACGAUCAGUAGCCGGUCUGAGAGGAUGAUCGGCCACAUUGGGACUGAGACACGGCCCAGACUCCUACGGGAGCAGCAGUAAGGAAUAUUG
rnacentral:rRNA from 1 species